CGAGAUGCCCUUCUUGAGCUGGCGAUACGUGCCUUAGACAAGUCGUAUCCUCCCAGCUCAGAAGGGCAUUCUCACGCUCCCACGCCCUACCACGACACUCCACCUGUCGGUGGAUCGAG
rfam:Jiangella alkaliphila strain DSM 45079 genome assembly, chromosome: I